GACGAACGCUGGCGGCGUGCUUAACACAUGCAAGUCGAACGAAGUGGCGAACGGGUGAGUAACGCGUAAUCAACCUGCCCUUCAGAGGGGGACAACAGUUGGAAACGACUGCUAAUACCCCAUACUGAAGGAGGGGAUGGCGUCUGAUUAGCUCGUUGGGGGGGUAACGGCCCACCAAGGCGAUGAUCAGUAGCCUGUCUUGGAGGAUGGACGACCAAAUUGGGAAUGGGACACGGCCCCGAUUCCUACGGGGGGCAGCAGGGGGGAAUCUUCCGCAAUGGACGAAAGGCUGACGGAGCAACGCCGCGUGGGUGAUGACGGCCUUCGGGUUGUAAAGCUCUGUUAAUCGGGACGCGGUACCGGAAUAGAAAGCCACGGCUAACUACGUGCCAGCAGCCGCGGUAAUAC
rnacentral:rRNA from 1 species